rnacentral:rRNA from 1 species
AGUGAACGCUGGCGGUAGGCCUAACACAUGCAAGUCGAACGGCAGCACAGUAAGAGCUUGCUCUUACGGGUGGCGAGUGGCGGACGGGUGAGGAAUACAUCGGAAUCUAUUUUUUCGUGGGGGAUAACGUAGGGAAACUUACGCUCAUACCGCAUACGACCUACGGGUGAAAGCAGGGGAUCUUCGGAACUUGCGCGAUUGAAUGAGCCGGUGGCGGAUUAGCUCGUUGGCGGGGUAAAGGCCCACCCAGGCGACGAACCGUAGCUGGUCUGAGAGGAUGGGCCGCCACACUGGAACUGAGACACGGUCCAGGCUCCCACGGGGGGCAGGAGUGGGGAAUUUUGGACAAUGGGCGCAAGCCUGAUCCAGCCAUACCGCGUGGGUGAAGAAGGCCUUCGGGGUGUAAAGCCCUUUUGUUGGGAAAGAAAAGCAGCAGGUUAAUACCCCGCUGUUCUGACGGUACCCAAAGAAUAAGCACCGGCUAACUUCGU